UACGUAGGGGGCGAGCGUUGUCCGGAGUUACUGGGCGUAAAGGGCACGCAGGCGGUUCUGCGCGUUUCGAGUGACAGCGGAUGGCUUAACUGUCCGAGUAUUCGAAAGACGGCAGGACUUGAGGACCAGAGAGGGACACGGAAUUCCGGGUGGAGUGGUGAAAUGCGUAGAGAUCCGGAGGAACACCGAGAGCGAAGGCAGUGUCCUGGCUGGUAACUGACGCUGAGGUGCGAAAGCCAGGGGAGCGAACGGG
rnacentral:rRNA from 1 species